UUCCCCUUUUCCAAUGGAUCCUCCUCUCUUCUCGUUCCUUCGUCAUCCCGCUCCACUUGCUCCUCAAAACCCUAGCCCUAGUCCAGAUCCCAUCUCGAUCCCUCGCGCUGCCGAUCUCCCGACCGUCAUUUCCCUACUCACCGACCUCGCCACACUCGCUGAGUCCACCCUCAAGUCCGUCUCCGACUUCCUAUCCCUCCCCCCUUCCUCCGCUGCUGCCGCUGGCGAUGGCUUCUGCCGAUGCCCUUACGACCGCAACCACCGCAUGCCGCCGGAGUCUCUCUUCCGCCACUUCCUCCUAUGCGCCUCCGCUCCCGGCACCCCUCUCCUUGACCUCGGCUUCCUCGACGCCCUACGCUAUCCCGGCUCCCUCAAGUCCGAGGCCGAGCUCCGGACGGAGAAUUCCUUCGUCCAGUCCCUCCCUGCCCCCGACGCCGACCUUUGCUUUUCUCUCGAUUCCCAGCUCGGGGACCUCGGCUCCGGCUUCUUCUACAAGGAUUGCCCCGCGGUCGUGACCACACCGGAGCCCGAUGUCGCCACGACCUUCACUCUACCUGGAAUCUUAUCCGCGGAGUGCGCCAACUUUGCGAGCGAUCGUGAUGGAGAAAGUUGGGUUCUCGGGGAAGGUAAGAUUCGAAUCCUUCCAUCCGAGUAUUGGGCGUUGAGAUGUGAGGUGGAGGCGUGGAAUGACUUCCCGGUUUCUUACUCUUAUACGGUACUUCGUGUCAUGUCGAGCUUGAAUUUGGUCGAGGAACGUGGGUUGUUAAAGAGGUGGGUGAUCUCAAAUUCACCUCAAUUUGGGAUCGUGAUCGAUGUUGCCAUGCGGGAACAUAUAUAUCUACUUCUGAAAUUAUGCUUGAAAGUUAUUGGAAGAGAAGCUUGUUCCUCACUCAAGUUGUUUUUGGACAACAAGCGGCUUUGUGAUCCGAAGUCUCUUAAUUUUGAGUGUCCUAGAUUGGUGAGAAGCUUCCGUUGGUUGGCAUCUCAGAUGUCAAUUCUGUAUGGGGAGAUGAAUUCUAAGUUAUUCGCAACUGGAAUGCUCAAGGAGUCACUGGUGCAAACUGGGUCUAGCUUGAUGUUAACUAGUUUACGCAGAGAAAAUAUGGAAAACGAUGGUAGCAUUGUUAUCAAUGAUGCUUGUGUUGAUGAUACAAGGUGUGGGUCUGAUGAGUACAAAUCAUAUGAAGACAUGAAACUAGAAAAUCCUUCCAAAGAUGCUAGUAGGGGCCAAGUCUUUGUUUCUCAGGUUGCUGCUGCAGUCGCUGCAUUGCAUGAGAAAUCCUUGUUGGAGAAAAGGAUCAAGGCCCUACGAUUUUCCCAGCCACACUCCAAGUCUCAGCUAAUACUGGAACACUCGUAUGCAUUAGCAAGAGGUUUUGAAGAACGUGGAAAGCGCCCCAAUUAUAGGCCUGUUCUGGAACAUGAUGGGCUCUUUUGGCAUCGAGCACAAAACCAGGAUCUUGGGAAAGCCAAGACAAGAGAAGAGCUACUAGCUGAGGAAAGAGAUUACAAAAGGAGAAGAAUGUCAUAUCGUGGCAAGAAGGCAAAGCGAAAUCCAACAGAGGUAAUAAGGGACAUCAUUGAGGAGCACAUGGAGGAAAUCAAACAAGCAGGAGGUAUCGGAUGCAAUGUAAAACUCUCUGCUGAUGCAGCAAUUUUCCCAGUCAACCAUGAUUCCCAGAAUGAUGCAAUUUCAGAUCUUUGUAAGUUGCAAACCAGUGAUUUGGAUGAUCCAGAUGCAAGAAGAAAUACUCGUCAUAAAGAAUCACUAGAUGGUGAUGCUAUUCAUAGUCAUAGAUCAAAUGUGAACAAAGAUUUUCUGAAGUCUCACUCAAAACUGAAGUAUGAACAACAUGAACAUUGGGAAGAUCAAGAUAAAUCUAUGCAUGAAAGAUGGAAGAAUUAUGGUUCUAGCAGCUCUUCCUCUCACAAAAGUUUGGCUUCAUCACGUGACCGAAUUGCACAUGAAAAGGAGCAUGGUGCUGCAGUUCCACCCAGCAGUAAAUAUGACAGUAUGAAUUCUGGAUAUUUUUCUAGGUCAAGAGAUCACAUAAAUCAAUCAACUUUAACAUCAAAGUCUUCCAGGGGGGAAUACGAUCACAUAUCACGAGAUAAGAGUAAGGAAAGAGACAGAACUUUUGGACGACAUAGAUCAGAGUCAGUGACACAGGACACGUUUGAGGAUAGAUACAAUCCUUCUGACUCAUAUGAUGAUUAUCAUGCCACCUACUCUAAUGUUUCUGCAGACAGUACCUAUUACUCGUCAGGCAAGGUUUACAAUCCAAGAGAAGAUGGCAAAUAUAAUCAUGAGCAGCGUUCUCGAAGGCGGAGCAAAGAUUAUAAAUAGGUCAAUCACUUUUUGAUGACUAUUUACUGAGGCAUCAUGAGUGUUCUCCACGUCCGUAUCCUUCUCUGUAUCCUCAUGGUUAAAGAUAUCAUGUUUGCCUUUUAUCUUUGCUGUACAGUUCCUUUCAUGUUUAGUUGUGCUAUAUUACACCUAGUCAACAAGGAUCAAUACACAAGUUGUGUUAAAAUGAGAUGGGUUGGGUUUCUCAAGUUGUUUAACUAAUACCAGAUUAGUUUUAGGUCAAGUUAUAGAACUUGUUUGUUAAGGUUUUAAAAUGGUGGUAUAAAUUCAUAUUUCUUUAGACUAGUUUUCUGCUGUUGAUUUUACAUUUUCCUUUGGAGCAUAAAUUCAGCAUGCAAAAGAUUUUAGGCCUCACAGCAGUGUGCUGCUACUGAUGAUGGUCUCCAUUUACUUAAUGGCUGCAAGAUUUGGUUAUUGGUCAAAAUUCGAUUAAUCAGUGAAGACUGGGGUUGCAGAUGUCUUUUGGCUGUUUGCUGAAUUGCCUUCUUUGUUGCAUUUUCUGUUUCCUGUUGAAUUCAGUUAAUGGUAAUACAUGCUUAGCCUUGCCUCUUUGAAUUCCCUUGUUCUGCAGUUAAUCGACAAAUCAUUCAUACUCUAUGGUAGUUUUUUUUUUUCCUGAUAUUGGACAACUGUAAGCAUUGAAUGCAGUGUUUACGAUGGUGAACGUACUUCUACUAAGAGAGCGAUGUUGAUUCUUUUGUGAAGCAUUGUGAUAUAGAAUUUUGAAAUUUUUAUGGUUAUUGUGACUGAUUUCAACAUUUUUGAUGUACCUGGAUUUGCUUUGGUUUUCUGUGUGUCAAAAAUUGAUAGUUUCUUCAAGCAGGUUUGUCUUAAGCAGCCUACUCUAGACAGUAUUUCAGUUUAAGCUGCCUCUUUGUUUAAUUCAUUACUUCUUUUGCCCUUCUGCAGUAUUUCAAUUCUUUUGCCCUUCCUGUUUGAACUGCACAAGACAGUAUCUCAAUUAACUUACAAAUUACAAAAUAUUUGUUAAUUCUUUUGCCCUUCUGCAGAAAGGACUUCCUCUUUGGUUUACUUCAAAAUGUUACUGUGUGGAUUAGCAUUACUGCUAUUGUAUGGAUUUGCUUAAGCAUGCACCAAGUACAUAUUUCACGGAGAGCUUAUGGUUGGAGGAGAUUAUGAAGUCAGCUUUUAUGGUUUGGGAGCAGUUACUAGAAUGGGUUCUAGUCGGCGCAUUAUUAGACAUGAGGUCCAUAUUCUAAGAUGAAUAGAUGCCUUGUGCAUUUGGAUAUGCUUAGUGUGAGUGGUCAGUGGGAUGUCAUAAUCCACAGUGACAGAACAGAUGCUACAGGCUGACUAAAGGUCAAGUUUCCCACAUCCAAAUAAUGCAAGUGAAGCCACAUCUUAGAAGAGUGCAAAGUAAAACGUCAAUCCCACUUUUCCUAAUUCUGACCUCUGUCAAUGACCACCGUAGUUCUUUUUCGGUGGCGGGCAGUGGUUCGCAAGAUCCAGCUGGAGUUAGACCAAAAGUAGCCGCUAACGAGCGCAUGCAAUUGACAAGGAUCAUCCGGUCUUAAUCUGAUUCAGAGUGAUUGACGCAAAAUCACUAUUAAAACAGUUUUCGAUUCUUCAACAUGUCCCGAGUCAGCUUCGGUUUAAGCUCAAGUCUAUUUUGGAAGACAAAUGGAUUCAUGAGCGGUAUGUUCGAUAAAAGCUUCUUUUAGUCUUCAAUUUAGUAGAGUUGAAGCAUAAGAUAGGAUUCAGAUGAUCAAAAAGAGCUUUAGGUCAAUUAACGUCUCUGAGGUGUUUUUGGGGAGCUAUGGUAUCGUUGAUAUUGAUGAAUUAAUCUGCGGGAGCAGUCAUGCAGGAUUGUACGAUUGUUGAGCAUUGUUCGGAAUGUCAAGGCAUGACAGUUGGUGUCAUCGUGCCGAUCAUAUAGGUCACAUGGCCGAUGUGUCAGAGUUGACAUGACAUAUGAGUAAUAUUAGAUUGAUAAUUAUAUGACGUUUCAGAUGCCUACAUGUUAGGUGCCUUGUAAGUUUGUACUUUAGUGUCUUUGGAUUGUGAGAUUAUCCAUGUCAGGUCUGUACUUUAGUGUCUUUGGAUUGUGAGAUUAUCCAUGUCAGGUCUGAGGAUAAUUAGUGCUAAUCAUGCAAGGACCGAGGAUGAAUUUUGUA